GAUGUCACUGUCUACAGUUUAAUGCUUGGGAUUUGUGUUAUUUCUUUUGGAGAUUUGUCUUUACCUCACAUUGGUUCAUGAUUAUGUUAAUAUCUUCUACAAGAAAUGUUUAAUUUAUCAUAUUACAGGUUGAAUCUCUUUUGGUUCACUAGAUGGGUUCUUCUACUCAUUUUUUCCUUGGGAUUAUCAAAAGGUUCCCUAAAUCAGACAAACAAGAUUAUGUAUUCCAGGUAAGCCUGUCACUUGAUUGCUCAAUGCUCGUGUUAUGGUGUUUAUUUAUCUUAGACGUAGAUACAAGAUAAUAUUAGCCAGAGAAUUGGAGAAUAUAAUUACAUAUCAGCAAUGAAACCUACAAGUGUUGUGUUCACUUUGCUUCUUGUAUAUUCUAGUUUCAUUUACUAGUCUGAAAGAUAUCUUGAUAAAUUUUUGCUUCUCAUCUAAAACAAACCAUCGCUCAAAAUUUAGCUAACCAAUCGGUGUUCAUAAACUUCUCCCACUUCGUCUUCCCCGGACAUCCUCUCUCUCUCUCCUUCAGCUUUACACACCGAGAUUCGGAGAAGAGUAAGAAGUUGAUCUAAAUUCUUCUAAGUUGCGGAUUUCUGCAUCAAUGGCUUUCAUUUCUUUUAUUGGCAGACUUCUCUUCGUUUUCGUCUUCAUCCUCUCAUCUUGGCAAGAGUUCAGUGAAUUUGGGGCUGAUGGUGGAUCAACGGCCAAGACCCUGAAACCGAAGUUCAACAUCUUCUUGAAACAUGUGACUAAUCAUACUGGUUUGAAAGUGCCAGAUGUUGAAGUAAUAAUCAACUAGUUAGUCUAAUAUAAGAUGGUUUUGAAAAAAACGUAAUUGUUUUAUGAUAUGAUUGUUCUUUUCUUUGACAGAUCAAACAUUUAAUUGAAGCUUCAAUUGUUAUGAAGGGAUUGAGAAGCUUUCUUUUCAUCUUUGGGAGUUCAAUUGGAGUCUAUUUGCUGGUCUGUAGUGGGUAUAAUCUUUUUCUUUUUCAUCAGAAUUUGAUAUUGAAUUCAUCUCACAGUUUAGUU